AACGGGUGGAGCUUGCGGUUUAAUUGGAUUCAACGCCGGAAAUCUUACCGGGACCGACAGCAAUAUGAAGGCCAGGCUGAAGACUUUGCCGGAUUAGCUGAGAGGUGGUGCAUGGCCGUCGUCAGUUCGUACUGUGAAGCAUCCUGUUAAGUCAGGCAACGAGCGAGACCCACGCCCACAGUUGCCAGCGUACUCUCUGGAGUGACGGGUACACUGUGGGGACCGCCGCUGCUAAAGCGGAGGAAGGAAUGGGCAACGGUAGGUCAGUAUGCCCCGAAUAUCCCGGGCUACACGCGAGCUACAAUGGUUGGUACAAUGGGUAUCUACCCCGAAAGGGGACGGGAAUCUCCUAAAACCAAUCUUAGUUCGGAUUGAGGGCUGCAACUCGCCCUCAUGAAGCUGGAAUCCGUAGUAAUCGCGUUUCAACAGAACGCGGUGAAUACGUCCCUGCUCCUU
rnacentral:rRNA from 1 species